rnacentral:rRNA from 1 species
GACGAACGCUGGCGGCGUGCUUAACACAUGCAAGUCGAACGGUGAAGCGCCUUCCUUUUUGGUGGGUGUGGAUGAGUGGCGAACGGGUGAGUAACACGUGAGUAACCUGCCCCCUUCUUCUGGAUAACCGCAUGAAAGUGUGGCUAAUACGGGAUAUUCUGGGUCUGUCGCAUGAUGGGUCUGGGAAAGAUAUUGUUUCGGUGGGGGAUGGGCUCGCGGCCUAUCAGCUUGUUGGUGGGGUGAUGGCCUACCAAGGCGGUGACGGGUAGCCGGCCUGAGAGGGUGGACGGGCACAAUGGGAAUGAGAAACGGGCCAGAAUCCUAAGGGGGGGAGCAGGGGGGAAUAUUGCACAAUGGGCGCAAGCCUGAUGCAGCGACGCCGCGUGAGGGAUGGAGGCCUUCGGGUUGUGAACCUCUUUCGCCAGUGAAGCAGGCCUGCCUCGUUUGUGGGUGGGUUGACGGUAGCUGGAGAAGAAGCGCCGGCUAACUACGUG